CUGGCGGCGUGCCUAAUACAUGCAAGUCGAACGGUCUUUCUAUGGAAGCUUGCUUCCACUGAGAAGAUAGUGGCGAACGGGUGAGUAACACGUGGGUAACCUGCCCAUAAGAGGGGGAUAACAUCCGGAAACGGGUGCUAAUACCGCAUAGUUUUCUUGAUCGCAUGAUCGGGAAAGGAAAGACGGCCUUUGUGCUGUCGCUUAUGGAUGGACCCGCGGCGUAUUAGUUAGUUGGUGAGGUAACGGCUCACCAAGACGAUGAUACGUAGCCGACCUGAGAGGGUGAUCGGCCACAUUGGGACUGAGACACGGCCCAAACUCCUACGGGAGGCAGCAGUAGGGAAUCUUCCGCAAUGGACGAAAGUCUGACGGAGCAACGCCGCGUGAGUGAAGAAAAGGUUUUCGGAUCGUAAAACUCUGUUGUCAGAGAAGAACAAGUUGGAGAGUAACUGCUCCAGCCUUGACGGUAUCUGACCAGAAAGCCACGGCUAACUACGUGCCAGCAGCGGC
rnacentral:rRNA from 1 species